GAUGAACGCUAGCGGCAGGCCUAACACAUGCAAGUCGAGGGAGAAGCCCUUUCGGGGGCAGAAACCGGCGCACGGGUGCGUAACGCGUAUGCAACCUACCUUUUACAGGGGGAUAGCCCGAAGAAAUUUGGAUUAAUACCCCAUAAUAUUAUUGGAUGGCAUCAUUUGAUAAUUAAAACUGCGGUGGUGAAAGAUGGGCAUGCGUCCUACUAGCUAGUUGGAGUGGUAACGGCACCCCAAGGCUACGAUAGGUAGGGGUCCUGAGAGGGAGAUCCCCCACACUGGUACUGAGACAGGGACCAGACUCCUACGGGAGGCAGCAGUGAGGAAUAUUGGUCAAUGGUCGGAAGACUGAACCAGCCAUGCCGCGUGCAGGAAGAAUGCCUUAUGGGUGGUAAACUGCUUUUAUAUGGGAAGAAUAAGGUGUACGUGUACAUUGAUGACGGUACCAUAUGAAUAAGCAUCGGCUAACUCCGUG
rnacentral:rRNA from 1 species